AACAUGCCAACCUCUAGUUCAGUGCCUAAUAUGUUUGUUCAAUGUCUGUUGUAUAUGUGAAAGAGCAAAGAAUAAAAUUCUAGAAUAAAAAUGCCACCACAUGCUAAUUACAAGUACAUCCUUUUCCAGAGUCUUCUGUUGUCAGGCAUCAUUCAUCCACCAGAUUGGACCAGGCAUUGCUACCCCACCAGAACUGCGACUUGGACUGCUGACCACUGUCCUUGCGGGGCCAUCUACAAAUGGAGAGUGGAGUCUCUAAGCUUGCACUUUGUGCCAUAUGGGCAUGUGUGUGGAGGAAGUGAUGGUGAAGAGGGAAAGAAGAGACAAGGAAGAGACCAAGAAUUAAGGACCCCUGUGCUGUCCUAUGAGCUGACACGGGCAAAGGUACCAAAUCUGGCCAUUAAAAUGCAUCUGAAGCAACUGUGUGCACCAUUAUCAUUAUUGUUAUCAUCAUUAUCAUCAUCAUCGUCGUCAUUUUUAGUUCUCCUUGCAGUCUGCCAACCUCUUUACGGAGCAGAUCAUCUUAAUAGUGACCCAGCCCCUAACUUCAAGGUUGUCCACAGAUCUGACGCUGCCAGAAAACCAGUUACAAGAAGGGAGACAAAAGGGAUCUGGAGGAUGGAGAGGCAUUCUGAGUUCCACUAAUGAGUGAGGUGACUCAUGGCUGACUCAGACAAACGAAGGCAAGCCUGGGAGAGGGGAGGCAGUGGGGGGCAGAUCUCAAAGGAGCCCUGCCGAAACAUUCAAAUGGGAGCUAGGAAGCCAGGGACACGGUGUUAUUUAGAGAGCAGCCUGCAGCUCUGGCGAUGAGGGAGGAACAGAUCUGAAAACAGAGGGAGAAAAUUACAUUUGAGGCCGAAACUGAGUUGUGAAUCUGUAGUUUUGACAAAUGUGUAACAUUCUCUGGUGACAUUGAGCUGCUCCUUGGCAAAUCUCAGAAUACUAAGUCAAUAGGAAUUAAUUGUCAUCAGUUUCCUGGGGAGUAGAAGUAAACGAGGUACCACCCUCUAUAUUUCUAAUGAUCUCAAUGAGAAAAAUAAGCCUUUUUCUUUAGUAUUUUACAUUUGGACAACUCUGUGACCUGACCUAUGCUUAUAGCUUUUUUUUAAAUUAAUUUAUUUUUUAGCUGAAGGAUAAUUGUUUUAUAGAACUUUAUUGUUUUCUGUAAAACCAACAUACCACUGAAGUGUCUUCUCUCUUAUUAAUGGCUACUUGAGGUUUCAAGUUUGCAGAUUCCAAAGUCAAAUAUUGUUAUGAAGGUUUAUAAUUGCAUUUUCCUAUAUGGACUGUACUGAAAUGAUAUGUCCCACCACAUGCUAUGUCUAGGUCCCCUAAAGAACAUGCAUUUGUGAGAUGGCUAGAUGUAGGUACAGACUACUUGGGUGACACAGUUUUCCGUGUACUAAAUAUCCCAUACAGAGAUCAAACCCAUGACCUCAGUCUCAUCAAGGCAAUGAAAGAGAACUGAGCUAUCUAAAAAUAAUUUUGGUUGAUUACAUAUUUAUAUGUGAUUUGAUGACUAUUGUCACAAAUGCACUUCACUGGAAUGGCACGACGGUGGAA
rnacentral:lncRNA from 1 species